UGUACACACCGCCCGUCGCUACUACCGAUUGAAUGGCUCAGUGAGGCCUCCGGACUGGCUCAGGGAGGUUGGCAACGACCACCCCGAGCCGGAAAGUUCGUCAAACUCGGUCAUUUAGAGGAAGUAAAAGUCGUAACAAGGUUUCCGUAGGUGAACCUGCGGAAGGAUCAUUACUGUAGGAGCCUCGCGGCUCCUGCUGAGAUUGCACCCAAUGUCUUUGGCGCACCGUACGUUUCCUCGGCAGGCCCGCCUGCCAACGGGGACCCCAAACAAAACCUUUUGUAGUAGUAGUAAACGUCUAAAACACAAAUAAUCAAAACUUUCAACAACGGAUCUCUUGGUUCUGGCAUCGAUGAAGAACGCAGCGAAAUGCGAUAAGUAGUGUGAAUUGCAGAAUUCAGUGAAUCAUCGAAUCUUUGAACGCACAUUGCGCCCUUUGGUAUUCCUUAGGGCAUGCCUGUUCGAGCGUCAUCUAACCCCUCAAGCAUCGCUUGGUGUUGGGCGCUUGUCCCGCCUCCGCGCGCGGACUCGCCUCGAAAACAUUGGCGGCCUGUGUAUUGGCUUCGAGCGCAGCACAUUUGCGUCUCGACCCCUCUCGCGCAGGCGUCCACGAAGUGACCCCCCCAAGUUUGACCUCGGAUCAGGUAGGGAUACCCGCUGAACUUAAGCAUAUCAAUAAGCGGAGGAAAAGAAACCAACAGGGAUUGCCUCAGUAACGGCGAGUGAAGCGGCAACAGCUCAAAUUUGAAAUCUGGCUCCCUUGGGCGCCCGAGUUGUAAUUUGCAGAGGGUGCUUUGGCGUUGGCCACGGCCUAAGUUCCUUGGAACAGGGCGUCGCAGAGGGUGAGAACCCCGUACGUGGCCGCUGGCCUUCGCCGUAUAAAGCCCCUUCGACGAGUCGAGUUGUUUGGGAAUGCAGCUCUAAAUGGGAGGUAA
rnacentral:rRNA from 1 species